GGCAGCAUCUCUCCAGUACGAAUACGUUGCUGUGCGACAGUUACUGUUUAUGUUUGUACCCGCCCUUCAGGUCUCACAUAAGGGCGGGAAACUGAGAUUCGUCUGUAAGCAAGUCAGUGUCACUUAUGUUCCCCCUGCGAUAUUUUAAUAUUCCUUCACCUUCACAAUGUCUCCGUCUAAACAAAGUGCAUCCAUGCCUGACACUCCGGAAGCAUCCCUGAAGAGAGACAAGUUUAAAUUUAAUGCUGUCAUAGAGAAAUACAUUGCUUUGGCACACGGACUUCCUCCUCCACCAGACACCUCUUCCAUGCUCCAGACAGAGUGUCCACAAACAACAUCCCAGAAGAGGCAACAUGCAUCUACAGGCAAGAUCACAAAGAAAAGCAAGGUAGUGACACACUCAUUAAGACAGUCACGUGGUAAUGUCCCCCACAUCCUGUCCUCAUCCAUCGAAGAGGAGAUUGCUCAUGAGGUAGAGGAAUCCCUUUUAAGAAGAAAGGAAGAGCUGGGAUUACCUGAUGAUUAUGUUUUUAAAGAAGUGAUGAAAGAUGACCCUAAAUGCCAUGUUGCUCAUCACUCAGUUAAGAAAAAUGCCACUCACAACUCUCUAACUGCACCCAAGAGGAGUAAGCAAUCCAGUAAAAGUCCCAGAAAAAGAGGUAGAAAGAUGUUAGAGGAUGUAAUUAACAGUAAGAAACUUGUGUCGCACAGCCAACCCAAAGCACUCAAAAGGAAGGUUAGGGAGGAAAUUAAGGAGUUGGAUAUUGAUGUCAUAUUGAGUUCACCUGAGUUGAAAAUGAAAAAAGUGAGGAAGAUGAGUGAGGGUUCAAAAAAUAAGAAAUGGGACCUCAAUGAAAGUAUAUCACCAAACAGGAGAGCUAAGGAGAGCAAAAAAGACUUAAAUAUUGAUGCCAGACAGAUGUCCACUGAUAAGAGCAAGACACCCAGGAAGGACACAAGAGGCAAAAAAUCACCUAAUAGAAGGAAAAAGAAGAAUUAUCCAACCAUGAUGAAGACAGUGGGGAAAACCACUGCUCAAAACAUUGAAAGAGAAAGCAAUGCAGCUGUGGCAUGUGACUUAGAGCUAGCUGAGAAAGGGGAGGCACAGGAAGAGGAGAAAUGUUCCAAGUUGUUGGAUGCUAUGAAGAAAGCAGUAUGGGAUAAGGUAAGAAGUGGUGCCUGUAUUUUGCAUAUGGUGCAGGAACAGAAUGAUAUUUUCUGUCUGUUUGAUGAUCUUGAGACUGUCCACAUCAACAUAUCUCAAGGAAAUGAAAGGGCAUCUCAAACUGUAAAAAGCUAUGCAGGCAAAGAGAAAACAAGCAUGUCAUCAGAACACCAAAGUGGAAAAAUGCCUGCUAAUAAGAGAACAAAGGGAGAGCCAGAACAAACUGUAAGAAGAGAUGCAGGUACUAAGAGAACAAGCACAUCAUCAGAACAGCAAAGUGGGAGAGUGGCUGCUAAUAAGAAGAGAAGAGAGGCAGAAAAAGGACAAACUGUAAGAAGAGACACAAGCACGGGGAAAACCAUAUCACAACAAACUGUAAGAAGAGACACAGGCACAGCAUCAGAACAGCAAAGUGUAAUAGAGUAUGCCAAUAAGAAGGGAAUAGAGCCAAAACCAGAACUGGCUGUAAGAACCCAUGCUGUUAAAGGGAAAAUGAGCACAACAUCAGAAUUGCAAAGUACAAACAAACACACGCUCAGACAGAAGACAAACACAGCACUAGAAGAGCAAAAGGUAAGAUUGCCUGUCAACAAAGAUAAGAAAAUACCAGCAGAACCAGAAGAAACUAAAAGCAACACAAUUAAAGAGAAAACAGGCACACCAGCAGCACAGCUAACUGUAAAAGUUAAAAAUGUAAGAGUGCCUAUGAAUAAAAUCAAGAAAACAAAAGCAAAACAGGAUGAGCAAACUAAGAGAAUACAAGGCAAUUUGCAGGAAAAAACAAACACAGCACAGCAGAGUUCAAGAAUACCAAACAACAAAGCAAAGGAGACAGAAAAACAACACACUGUCACAGCACAAGGGAUCAGCCACAAAGUCAAGACUAAGGUUAACCAGAACACAAAAAUACACCCUAAGAAACUGGAAGAAACAAGACAUGGGAAAUGUCAAAGCAAAGCAGCAUGUACUAAUGAAAAAAUAGACACACAACAAAAGCAACAACAUCAGGAAAGAAAGCAAGAAACUGUAAAGAAAAUAAGACAGGUAUAUCUGCCAGCCUCUGAAGUUUAUAAGAAUGCCCCAAAUAAAAGGGAAGUGAGAGCUAUCGUGGCAAAAAGAUCUGAUUCUCAAAAGGUACAGGUGUCAGUUCCCAUCAACACUGAGUCUCAUGAUAUCCCUAAGGCACCCUCUAAGAGAAGAGUGACCCAGUUAAGUAUGACUGGGCUGGGUGAGGAGGUAACAGAUGUGGCUGAAAAUUCUGCGCUGCCAUCCUCUCCCAGAAAUGUGUCCCACUCCUCCACUGAUUCAUCAUACCAGCUCACAGGAAAUGGUCUGUUAAAGAAAAGGAAGUUUGGUUGUUUAAGCUUCUUAGAGUCUGAUGAGGAAGAUGGUGAGUGGAGCACCAUCAGCUCUGAAGAUAAUACCUUUGAAGAGCGUAAUGUGAAGAAGAAAAAGAAAAAAAAGAAGAGAGGUCCUUAUCAUUUGCCUGAACUUUCCAAAAAAAACAGAUCCAAGAGACUUAGCAAAUCCUCCAACAAAGCUGAUGAUGAUGAUGAUGAUGAUGACAUCAUCAUCUUGACAUCGCUUAGCCCUCCAACUCAAAACGAAAACAAUCCAAAUGUGGCCAAUACUGUAAAUGAAAAUCACACCCAGACCAGUACAUCAUAUACUUCACACAAGAAACCAGCACCAAUAAGGAACUGGAUGAUGAAGAGAACCUUGGAAGGAAAACAGAGAAAUUCCUUUUCUGAGAGAUCUGCCAGCAGUCUGAUUGCAAAGCAGCAACAGAGAAAGACAGAGACAACAGCUGCAGCAGAGCAAAGCACAGAGGAGGGCUUAGGACUGGGGGAUACCUGGAGCCUCCUUUGUUAUCCACCUGUUCAGCAGAAUUUCUCCCACCAUAUCUCCAGGGCUGGAAUGAGUUUACAAGGAUCUCAGCAUAUGGAGACAUCAUCAAUCCACCACCAAGUCACUGCCAGCACCAGCAGGAACAGCAGGAUACUCACCAACACCAAUACCUUUGCCAACAAUACCACUCCUGCCAACACCACUGCCACCAUGGCGUCCAAACCAUCGGAAAGCUUUUGGGUGAUGCGCACUAGUGAAGAGGAGGCAGAUAAUGGAACCCUCACCACCACGAUGAUGUCCGGGAGCACCAUGCAGAAUCCUGACAUCACCUCAGCCUCACAGGUGACCUUUAGUAGGAGAACAGGACUGCCUGACUACCGCACUCUUGGCCCAGAGCGCUGGAGGGCAGCUGUCAGGAAACUGCAGAAGAGCAAGAAAAUCUAACUGAGGCUUUUGUAUUUGUAAGAAAAUCUAACUGAGGCUUUUGUAUUUGUAAGAAAAUCUAACUGAGGCUUUUGUAUUUGUAAGGUAAUUUUCAUAGUAAUUUUAUAGUUUACAUAAUGUGGUGCAGACAGCAGUUUAUUAAUUUUAUUUUUAAAUUUUUAUAACUCUUCUGGUAAUUUGAAGAGAUAGUAAACAGGAAGCAGUUAUUGCGUACUUUCCUUUAUUUUGUAAUAUAUUUUUGUAUAUGUUUUAUAAAUGGAAAUACUUAUCUUAAUGAUAUUUUUAUUUCACUAAUAAGUAAAGAAUUAUGAGUCUA